rnacentral:rRNA from 1 species
CAGCCGCCGCGGUAAUGCGUAGGGUGCAAGCGUUAAUCGGAAUUACUGGGCGUAAAGCGUGUGUAGGUGGUUGUUUAAGUCUGUCGUGAAAGCCCUGGGCUCAACCUGGGAAUUGCGAUGGAUACUGGGCGACUAGAGUGCGGUAGAGGAUAGUGGAAUUUCCGGUGUAGCAGUGAAAUGCGUAGAUAUGCGGAGGAACACCGAUGGCGAAGGCAAUCCCCUGGACCUGUACUGACGCUCAUGCACGAAAGCGUGGGGAGCAAACAGGAUUAGAGACCCGCGUAGUCCCUGUCUCUUAUAA